UACGGAGGGGGCUAGCGUUAUUCGGAAUUAUUGGGCGUAAAGGGCGCGUAGGCGGCCCGGUAGUCAAAGGUGAAAUCCCUCGGCUCAACUGAGGAACUGCCUUUGAAACUGUCGGGCUUGAGGCCGGGAGGGGGUAGCGGAAUUCCCAGUGUAGCGGUGAAAUGCGUAGAUAUUGGGAGGAACACCGGUGGCGAAGGCGGCUCACUGGCCCGGUACUGACGCUGAGGUGCGAAAGCGUGGGGAGCAAACAGG
rnacentral:rRNA from 1 species